rnacentral:rRNA from 1 species
AGUGAACGCUGGCGGUAGGCCUAACACAUGCAAGUCGAACGGCAGCACAGUAAGAGCUUGCUCUUACGGGUGGCGAGUGGCGGACGGGUGAGGAAUACAUCGGAAUCUACUUUUUCGUGGGGGAUAACGUAGGGAAACUUACGCUAAUACCGCAUACGACCUACGGGUGAAAGCAGGGGAUCUUCGGACCUUGCGCGAUUGAAUGAGCCGAUGUCGGAUUAGCUAGUUGGCGGGGUAAAGGCCCACCAAGGCGACGAUCCGUAGCUGGUCUGAGAGGAUGAUCGGCCACACUGGAACUGAGCAACGGUCCAGAUUCCUACGGGAGGCAGCAGUGGGGAAUAUUGGACAAUGGGCGCAAGCCUGAUCCAGCCAUACCGCGGGGGUGAAGAAGGCCUUCGGGUUGUAAAGCCCUUUUGUUGGGAAAGAAAAGCAGCAGGUUAAUACCCCGCUGUUCUGACGGUACCCAAAGAAUAAGCACCGGCUAACUUCGU